rnacentral:lncRNA from 1 species
GGGGAGCUUCUGAGUUGUACUCUUUUUGCCUUACUAUGGGUUUUCCUACUGGGUUUUCCAAGAAAGGUUUUUAAUGAGGCAACAAGAGAUGAUAUACAUGAGACAUUAAUGAUACUGGUCUCCAAGGGGGAGUGUUACGAAAGUCAGCAACACUUUCGUGUGAGAGUUGAUAUGGAGCCCAUAUCAUUUAAAACUCACAGUAACAAUUGUCGAAACCUCUUCUAUAUAAGGAAUUGUAUUGCGAUCAUUUUAUGAUGCCCCUUUCGAAUAAUAAUAAUAACUUCAUCUUUUCUCGUUUUGGUAUUCAACUCUCUUCUUUUCUUUUCGUAGUUUUCUAUAUACUAUAAUUAUGAUCUUCAUGCAAUAGAUAAGAAAGACGUUUUACGUAUCUUAAAAUAAACAAUACAUAAUAUAAUUAUAACAAAAGAUAAUUAUUUAUAUUUUUCUCUUUUUUCCUAACUUUUUUCUCAGUUAUUCUACAUUACUCUACUUAUAUUACUCUCACAUUUCACAAGUUAGACCCAUAGUUUUAAAAUUGAAAAACAUGUCGGGACCAAACAGCUUUAGGACAGCUUUAGAAGCUGCGACCCAUACCGAAUAUAAGUAAUCAAUCCCCCCUGUACCUCAUGGAGUAUAUAAAACAGUAAACGACAAAACUACCUUUUUGCUAACUGCGUCAUCGCUUGUGUCAUUAAUCCUUUCAAACUUAUCUAGAAUAGAUGAAUCUGGAAACUAACAGCGAAGCUUUGCAUGAUUUAAUCCCCCAUACCUCAUGGAAUAUAUAAAAGCAGUAAACGACAAAUCUACCUUUUUGCUAACUGCGUCAUCGCUUGCGUCAU